CACGUAGGGGCCAAGCGUUGUCCGGAUUUAUUGGGCGUAAAGAGCUCGUAGGCGGUUCAGUCAGUCGGGUGUGAAAUCUCCAAGCUCAACUUGGAGCUUGCAUCCGAUACUGCUGUGACUUGAGUCCGGUAGGGGAGCAGGGAAUUCCUGGUGUAGCGGUGAAAUGCGCAGAUAUCAGGAGGAACACCGGUGGCGAAGGCGCUGCUCUGGGCCGGUACUGACGCUGAGGAGCGAAAGCGUGGGUAGCAAACAGG
rnacentral:rRNA from 1 species